AGCGAACGUUUGCGGCGGGCCUAACACAUGCAAGUCGAACGCACUAGCAAUAGUGAGUGGCGCACGGGUGCGUAACACGUGGGUAAUCAACCCUUCAGCUUGGGAUAACGACUUGAAAGGGUCGCUAAUACCGGAUACGGCGAGAGAGGCUUCGGCAUUUCUCGAGAAAGCCUCGCAAGGGGCACUGAAGGACGAGCCUGCGGCCCAUCAGCUAGUUGGUGAGGUAAGAGCUCACCAAGGCGAAGACGGGUAGCUGGUCUGAGAGGAUGAUCAGCCACACUGGAACUGAGACACGGUCCAGACUCCUACGGGAGGCAGCAGUGGGGAAUAUUGCGCAAUGGGCGAAAGCCUGACGCAGCCACGCCGCGUGAGCGAUGAAGGCCUUCGGGUCGUAAAGCUCUGUGGGGAGAGACGAAGAAAGACCGUGAAGAGACGGGCCGUUGACGGUAUCUCCUUAGCAAGCACCGGCUAACUCCGUGCCAGCAGCCGCGGUAA
rnacentral:rRNA from 1 species